GGGCCUUUCUGGACUGACACUGACACUGAGGUGCGAAAGCGUGGGUAGCAAACAGGAUUAGAUACCCUGGUAGUCACGCCGUAAACGAUGUCGACCAGCCGUUGGGUGCCUAGCGCACUUUGUGGCGAAGUUAACGCGAUAAGUCGACCGCCUGGGGAGUACGGCCGCAAGGUUAAAACUCAAAUGAAUUGACGGGGGCCCGCACAAGCGGUGGAGCAUGUGGUUUAAUUCGAUGCAACGCGAAGAACCUUACCUACUCUUGACAUCCUGCGAAUUUGGUAGAGAUACCUUAGUGCCUUCGGGAACGCAGAGACAGGUGCUGCAUGGCUGUCGUCAGCUCGUGUUGUGAAAUGUUGGGUUAAGUCCCGUAACGAGCGCAACCCUUGUCCUUAUUUGCCAGCGCGUAAUGGCGGGAACUCUAAGGAGACUGCCGGUGACAAACCGGAGGAAGGUGGGGACGACGUCAAGUCAUCAUGGCCCUUACGAGUAGGGCUACACACGUGCUACAAUGGUCGGUACAAAGGGUUGCCAACUCGCGAGAGUGAGCCAAUCCCGAAAAGCCGAUCUCAGUCCGGAUCGGAGUCUGCAACUCGACUCCGUGAAGUCGGAAUCGCUAGUAAUCGUGGAUCAGAAUGCCACGGUGAAUACGUUCCCGGGCCUUGUACACACCGCCCGUCACACCAUGGGAGUGGACUGCAUCAGAAGUGGUUAGCCUAACGCAAGAGGGCGAUCACCACGGUGUGGUUCAUGACUGGGGUGAAGUCGUAACAAGGUAACC
rnacentral:rRNA from 1 species